AGCAGAGUAGCCUAGUGGAAAGAGCACAGGCCUGGGAGUAAGAGAACUGGGUUCUAAUCCCAGCUCUGCCA
rnacentral:tRNA from 1 species